rnacentral:misc_RNA from 1 species
GUUACUGCUGUAUGUCUAUCUGAUGAUGACUCAAAGGGCUUUUCUGCUUCCAAAGAUGGCACAAUUUUAUAUUGGGAUGUAGAUACUGGGAAAGGUGAGAAGUACCAUUGGCCUAAUGAAGAAACACUCAGACUUCAUGGAGCCAAGGGUCCUGAUGGUAAAGCUACAAAGCAUAGCAAACAGGUUUUAUCAUUGGCUGUUAGCACUGAUGGUAAGUAUUUAGCAAGUGGAGGAUUAGAUAGGCAUGUUCAUGUAUGGGACACACGAACGAGAGAACAUAUUCAGGCUUUUCCAGGUCACAGAGGGCCUGUGUCAUGCCUAACUUUUAGGCAAGGGACUUCAGAACUUUUUUCUGGUUCUUUUGAUCGAUCAAUCAAAAUAUGGAAUGUGGAAG